AGAGUUUGAUCCUGGCUCAGGAUGAACGCUAGCGACAGGCCUAACACAUGCAAGUCGAGGGGCAGCGAAGAGGUAGCAAUACCUUUGUCGGCGACCGGCGCACGGGUGAGUAACGCGUAUGCAACUUACCUAUCAGAGGGGGAUAGCCCGGCGAAAGUCGGAUUAAUACCCCAUAAAACAGGGGUCCCGCAUGGGAAUAUUUGUUAAAGAUUCAUCGCUGAUAGAUAGGCAUGCGUUCCAUUAGGCAGUUGGCGGGGUAACGGCCCACCAAACCGACGAUGGAUAGGGGUUCUGAGAGGAAGGUCCCCCACAUUGGUACUGAGACACGGACCAAACUCCUACGGGAGGCAGCA
rnacentral:rRNA from 1 species